rnacentral:rRNA from 1 species
CAGCAGCCGCGGUAAUACGGAGGGUGCGAGCGUUAAUCGGAAUUACUGGGCGUAAAGCGCGCGUAUGCGGUCUGAUAAGCCGGCUGUGAAACCCCCGGGGCUCCACCUGGGAACGGCAUCCGAGAACUUGUCAGGCUCAAGUGCGAGAAGAGGAAGGUAGAGUAGCGGGGAGAUAUGCGUGUAAUUGCGUAGAGAUCGGGGAGGGAAUGCCGGCUGUGCGAGAGUGAGGCCUUCUGGAGUGACACUUGACCGUCUGAGGUGCGAAAGGCUGUGGGUAGCAAACAUGGAUUAGAUACCCUGGUAGUCCACGCCGUAAACGAUGUCAACUAGCCGUUGGGCUCCUUGAGAGCUUUGUGGCGCAGUUAACGCGAUAAGUCGACCGCCUGGGGAGUACGGCCGCAAGGUUAAAACUCAAAUGAAUUUGACGGGGGCCCGCACAAGCGGUGGAGCAUGUGGUUUAAUUCGAUGCAACGCGAAGAACCUUAACUACCCUUGACAUCGUGGCGAACUUUCCAGAGAUGGAUUGGUGCCUUCGGGAACGCACAGACAGGUGCUGCAUGG